CACGUAGGGGGCGAGCGUUGUCCGGAUUUAUUGGGCGUAAAGAGCUCGUAGGCGGUUCGGCAAGUCGGGUGUGAAAUUUCGAGGCUCAACCUCGAAACGCCACUCGAUACUGCUGUGACUGGAGUCCGGUAGAGGAGUGCGGAAUUCCUGGUGUAGCGGUGAAAUGCGCAGAUAUCAGGAGGAACACCGAUGGCGAAGGCAGGUCUCUGGGCCACUACUGACGCUGAGAAGCGAAAGCAUGGGGAGCGAACAGG
rnacentral:rRNA from 1 species